rnacentral:sRNA from 4 species
CGGGUUUACUCCUGGUGUUAACCGUUUCAUCCAGCCGGAGCCGGAUGUCGUUUUGGUGUCUGAUUCGGCAACGAAUCGGGAGCACCAUCUGCGUAGGCUGUAGGUUUAAGGCUUUCGCCGCCUACGGUCUUGGACAGCCCCCGCCAGGCAGGGACCCCAAUCUUGUCGCGACGCGCACACGGCA